rnacentral:sRNA from 1 species
CGGACCCUGCCCCAUGGAGCAGGGCACCUGGCCUUCUCCCAGAGGGGACUGCUGGUGGCGGGAAUGGGUGACGUUGUCAACAUCUGGGCAGGGCAGGGGGCCAGUGAGCCCAACUUCGAUGGCCUGGAGAGUAAUCCAUACAGAAGCCGGAAGCAGCGCCAGGAGUGGGAGGUGAAGGCCCUGCUAGAGAAGGUACCUGCAGAGCUUAUUUGUCUGGACCCACGAGCCCUGGCCGAGGUGGAUGUCAUCUCCCUGGAGCAGGGAAAGAAGGAGCAGAUAGAGAGGCUGGGCUAUGACCCGCAGGCUAAGGCUCCCUUCCAGCCAAAGCCAAAGCAGAAGGGCCGCAGCUCCACGGCAAGCCUGGUGAAGAGGAAGAGGAAGGUCAUGGAUGAGGAACACAGGGACAAGGUCCGGCAGAGCCUUCAGCAGCAGCAUCAUAAGGAGGCGAAGGCCAAGCCCACGGGGGCCCGGCCAUCUGCCCUGGACAGAUUUGUGCGCUGAGCCAGACUCCAGGGUUGCCUGGGAACAGUCUCUCCCCAAGAUCACCUGUAGGGAAAUGAGUGUUCCCUGGAACAAGGAGGUGGGGGCAGUGUGGCCCCUUCCCCAACUGGGGGUGGACAGCUGUCUCCUGGGGUGGGUUGGUAUUAAAGAGGAAAGCGAUUUUUUGGA